rnacentral:lncRNA from 1 species
AACCUGUGGUAUGCUGAGAAAGCCUGGUGAAAUUGUACUCAGCCUUCAGACCUCAGGUUAGAUGUCAUUUCCUAUGAGAAGCCCACCUCAUUCAGGACGUCCAUGAUCUCUCACAGCCUUCUGUGUUCCUUCCUCAAUACCGUGUUUUAUAGCUUUUUAAAAAAUUCUGUGAUCAUAUUAUGCUCAGCAACAGAGAGAGACUAUUCUUGUUUCCUGUGCCUAGGAUGUGCCUGAUGUACGAAUCUGUCUCCAGCGGGACCAGAAAACCAUAUGUGGCAUUACUUAUAAACCCCCUCUAGCUAUAGAGAUUAAUAUAGAAUCAUCUUUCUUUAUGAGUUUUCCACCAAUAAACUUUUGUAGAUAUAAGCAAA